CCGAGAGUCGAUGUCCCCUCGCCGCGGGCCGCGGGGGUGACGCGGGGCUUCAGCUGCCACCGGCCCCAGCCUGCGGACCCCCGGGGCCGCUCCCCACAGGGCAGCUGGGACUCCGACGGAGGAGGCGGAGGCAGCCGGGUCUGAAUGCAGGCGCCAGCGCCGGGCUUUCCUCAGAAAAGAGCUCUCUCCAGCCCCCGGCUGUUGGACGAAGGCAUGCGGUGGUUAUUUCCUCCUCCGUCUCGUUGGUGAGGUCCUGUCGGGCGACCUCGGUUUGGGGGAUCCAGCUCCUGUACCACCCUCUGGGUAAAGGCGGGACUGGAUUCCACUUUGGGGUGAGUUUGCUGGAAUAUUUGUGUGUGUGCUGGAUGGACACCUCCCCAUUUCUUUCCUGCCUGCUUCUGUGUGCCUGAAAUUUUUAAUUGUUUUGGAAUCCGCUGGGGUGUCCCUGUUGUGCACAAUUCCUGGGAAGUUUAUCAUGUUGUGGACCAGCUGAACCAGACCUGGUCACAGGAUGUGGCCACGCACUUGGGGCCCACAGGACCCCCAACCCGGAGGGCCCAGUGCCUGCUGGUGAGUGCACUCAGACCAUUUUUCAGACAUUAAGGAGAGAGAGCUCACAAUUUGAGCACGGACGUCAAAAAGGGAAAAUUUCGUGUUUUCUGCACCUCCGAGACAGGUUCCACGCCCAAAGUCUUGGCCCUACAAGAUCCGGUCCCAAAGUCUCAGAGACUCAGAACUUAAAGAAACCAAACCCUCCCUUUACCCAGUCCUGCAGGACACCAUCUCAGAGGAGUUCAUCUUUCCACCACCCUAUCAGCCCCUCCCAACAGCCCCGCUGGCAGAGCCAGUAGAACCUGAUGGAGAAGAACCAGUUCCAGAAGAACCAGUUCCUGUUCCUGAAGGAGGAAUGCCCACGCGCGGACCCUGUGGCGGGGACAUGGGGCGAGUCAAUCGGCAGCCCUCAGCCAAGGACCUGCUGACCCAAUUGUCCUCCCCCUGCAUACCACAGGGCCCCCUGAUGAAACAGGACAGCCAAUGCACUAUUGGCCAUUGUCCACUAGUGACCUCUAUAACUGGAGAACUCAGAAUGCUGUUUUCAGAAAACCCCAGAGAUCUUCUUAACCUUUUAGACACUGUUCUUUUUACCCAUCAGCCCACGUGGGAUGAUUGCCAACAGCUCUUACAGGUUCUUUUUACCACUGAGGAGAGAGAAAGGGGCCAGGUGGAAGCCCAGAAGUUGGUUCUGGGUGACAGCAGAUAGCCCACCCAGAACCCAGAUCUCAUAAAUGCUGCUUUUCCUCUCUCUCAUCCAAACUGGGACUACAAUUCAGCAGAAGGUAAGGAGAGACUCCGGGUCUAUCGCCAGACUCUGUUGGCAGGUCUCAGGGCAACUGCACGAAAGCCCACUAAUUUGGCUAAGGUAUAUAAUGUUCAACAAGGGAGGGAUGAAAGCCCAGCGGCAUUUCUAGAGAGAAUCAUGGAGGCUUUUAGACAGUACACCCCCAUGGAUCCUGAAGCUCCAGAGAACACAGCCGCUAUAGUUAUGGCUUUCGUCAACCAAGCUGCUCCAGACGUAAAGAGAAAAUUACAGAGAGUAGAGAGAUUAGGAGAAAGGAGCUUGCAGGACCUGGUAGUUGUGGCAGAAAGAGUUUUUAAUAAUCGAGAGAGCCCGGAGGAACAACAGACAAGAAUAAACAACCGCCAGACUCGAAACUUGGCUAAAAUACUGCUGGCUACGACUGCAGAGAGCCCUCAGGAGUGACAGAGACACCUUAAGAAACUGGCCACUGGACAAGGUAAGGAAGACCCCACCCAAGGGAACUGCCCUAAAUUAAAUAAGAACCAGUGUGCAUAUUGCAAAGAGGAAGGCCACUGGAUCAAGGACUGUCCUAACAAGAGACCCAAAAAGACCCCCAUUGCUAUCCUGGGUACCGAAAGCAUUGAUGACUAGGGGCGACUGUGUUUGGCACUCCUCCGCAAGCCCAGGGUAACUCUAAAAGUGGAGGGGCAACCUAUAGAAUUCCUUGUGGACACCGGAGCUCAACACUCCAUCCUAUUACAACCCCAAGGAAAAUUGGCAGAUAAAACCUCAUGAGUACAGGGAGCUAUGGGGGUGAAAUAAUAUUCAUGGACUACCUGAAGAAUGGUGGACCUCAGCGUGGGCCGGGUAUCCCACUCGUUCAUGGUCAUCCCAGAAUGCCCCUACCCCUUAUUAGGCUGAGAUUUGCUCACCAAGGUAGGGGCACAAAUGAGCUUCCACCCCAAACGGACAAAAAUUCUAAACAAAGAAGGAUAUCCAAUACAGAUGCUCACUAUAAGCCUCGAGGAUGAGUACCACCUGUACCAGGUACUCUUAUCACCAAUGCAUGACUUAAAAUAUUGGCUAUAGACAUUUCCCCAAGCCUGGGCUGAGACAAGGGGAGUGGGAUUAGCUCAACAUAGGCCAGAAAUAUUUAUAGAACUGAAAUCAGGUGCAGAUCCAGUCAGGGUCUGGCAAUACCCGAUGCCACUUGAGGCAAAAGCUGGAAUCACUCCACACAUUAGAAGAUGACUCAAGUUAGGCAUACUGAGACCUUGCCAGUCAGCGUGGAAUACCCCCCUAUUACCAGUCUGAAAACCAAAUCGACUGACUACCGACCAGUCUAAGAUUUGCGUGAGGUAAAGAAGCAGGUGACAGAUGUACACCCAACGGUCCCAAAUCCGUACACCCUCCUCAGCUCAUUGCCUCCUACCUGAACCUGGUAUACAGUCCUAGAUUUAAAGGAUGCCUUUUUCAGCUUGCCCCUGACACCUAAGAGCCAAAACAUCUUUGCCUUCGAGUGGACGGACCUGAAAAAGGAAUUAGCGGCCAGCCUACCUGGACCAGGCUCCCCAAGGAUUCAAGAACUCACCCACCAUCUUCAAUGAGGCCCUACAUGAAGAUCUAAGUGAGUUCUGAUCUAAACACCCAGAAUUAACUCUUUUAAGUACAUAUAUGAUAUCCUGGUAGCCACUGAAGACCAGGAGAUAUGCCUGUGAGGCACCAAGGACAUGCUUUCUACACUAGGAGCCUUGGGUUACCAAGCCUCAGCCAGAAAGGCCCAAAUCUGCAAGACAGAGGUAAGCUAUUUAGGCUAUAAAUUAAAAGGGGGACAGAGAUGGCUCACAGAAGCAAGAAAAGAGACUGUCUUAAGAAUACCGCGCCCACAAAAUGUCUGCCAAAUGCAUGAAUUCCUGGGAUCCGCAGGAUACUGCCGAUUGUGGAUCCCAGGUUUUGCGGAAAUAGCUAGAUCCCUUUAUGAAGCCACCAAAGAAAAACAGGAGUUUACAUGAACAGAGACCAUGGAGAACUCAUUCACUAGUCUUAAGCAGGCCUUACUCUCUGCACCUGCACUGGGGCUCCCUGAUUUAACCAGACCUUUCUACCUGUAUGUAGAUGAAAGUAAGGGAGUGGUGACAGGGGUGCUAAUACAGUACAUUGGCCCAUGGAAAAGGCCCAUAGCUUAUUUCUCCAAGCCGCUAGACACUGUUGCCACUGGAUGGCCCCCCUGUCUGUGAAUCAUCACUGCAGUAGCUACCAUGGUCAAAAAUGCAGACAAACUAACACUAGAACAAGAAUUAAAUGUCACCACCCCACACGCAAUCGAAGGGGUGCUCAAACAGCCACCAGACAGGUGGAUAAGUAAUGCCCAACUAACGCAUUACCAAGGACUGCUCUUAAAUCCUGCCAGAAUUCUGUUCCACACACCCGUGUCGGUGAACUCAGCCACCCUCCUCCCCAACCCAGACUGGGAGGCACCAUUCCAUGACUGUGGGGAGGUCCUGGCUCAUGUUCACAGAGUCAGAACUGACCUGUGAGAUCAGCCACUGGCAGAAGCAGAUGCCACCUGGUACACCGAUGGAAGCAACUUCAUGCAAGACAGAGUAAGAUAUGCAGGGUUGAGACAGAAACUGUCUGGGCUGAGCCACUGGCUCCAGGAACUUCAGCCCAGCGGGCAGAGCUGAUCAUGCUGACCAGAGCAUUGACUAUGGCCAAAGACAAACGCCUUAAUGUCUAUAUGGACAGUAGGUAUGCAUUUGCCACUGCCCACAUACAUGGAGCCAUCUAUAGAGAGGGGAAGCUAUUGACUGCCGAAGGAAAAGCCAUCAAAAAUAAAGAAGAAAUUCUUGACCCCCUACCCGCCCUUUAGCUACCCAAAGCACUGGCAAUAAUUCGUUGCCCAGGCCACCAAAAGUCUGACACCUGGGUUGCCAAAGGAAAUAAAUUGGCUGACCAAUGUGCCAAACAGGCAGCCCUUUCUGUGGACCAUGCCCUAGUGACCACAUUGCCAGACCCAGGGGCCCCCAGUCUGCCAGACACCCCCUCCUACACUGAUGAAGACAAAAUGGAUCAAGCAGCUGCCCAUGACCAACUACCUAGAUGAGUGAUGGAGAGCCACCGACUGCAUCAUUCUACCGGAAGAGUUAGGAUGAUGCAUCCUAACCAAAAUGCAUUGGGCUACACACAUGGGGAUGAGAAAAAUGGAAGACUUGGUGUGACAUGCUUGCAUCACUAUCAAGGACUCUCAAUCAAAAAUUGGACAGAUCAUAGCAAGCUGCAAGGCUUGCCAACUGACAAAUGCAGCCGCCUAUGCGCCCAACCCUGGUGCCAGACUCUGAGGACAGUAGGUAUGCAUUUGCCACUGCCCACGUAGACAGGCCAGGCGUCUAUUGGGAAGUGGAUUUCACAUAGGUAAAGCCCGGAAAAUAUGGGUACAGGUAUUUGCUAGUGUUUGUAGACACUUUUUCAUGUUGGAUCGAGGCAUUUCCCACCAAGCAUGAGACAGCGCAGACCAUGGCCAAGAAACUGUUAGAAGACAUCCUGCCAAGGCACAGUUUUCCUGCCAGGAUAAGCUCAGACAGUGGACCAGGAUUUGCUUCCAAGGUAACACAGGGAGUAGCACAGGUUCUUGGGGCAGAUUGGAAAUUACAUUGUGCGUAUAGGCCCCUAAGUUCAGGACAGGUAGAAAGAAUGAACAGAACUUUAAAAGAGACCUUGACUAAAUUAGCCCUAGAGACUGGCGGAGACUGGGUGACUCUCCUCCUCUUUGCCCUUUAUUGGGUGCAUAACUCCCCGUAUAAGAUGGGACUUCCUCCCUUUGACAUCAUGUAUGGCAUUCCUCCACCUAUUAUUCCCACUCUCAAACCCAAAGUACUUGCUGAACUUGAUGAUCACCAAUUCCUUUUUUCCCUCCAAAUGUUGCAACGAACCCAUGAGCAGGUCUGGCCUAAGCUGAAAGCUCUUUAUGAGACCGGACCCCCUCCAGAACCGCACCGCUAUCGUCCAGGUGACUGGGUGUACGUCCGGAGACACCAACACCAGACACUUCAACCACGCUGGAAGGGACCCUACAUCGUGAUCCUGACCACUCCCACCGCUCUCAAGGUCAACGGAAUUACUCCCUGGGUCCACUGCACCCACAUCUGACCAGCUGACCCACACGCCGUUCUCAAGAACUUUGUUCCAAAAUGGAAAAGUCAGCUGGACAAAGACAAUCCUCUAAAGCUAAGACUGCGCCGUUCUCACCUAUCCCACUAAUGUUACUUAUACUAUGCCUUCCUCAUAUCAAAACCAGCAACCCUAACCCCUAUACCCCCUAUCAACUCACAUGGGAGGUGAUGAACUGGGAAACGCAUGAAGUAUAUAACAGCACUUCCCAAGAAGCCCCAUUAAACACGUGGUUCCCUGACUUGUACUUUAACCUAGACAAGGUGGCAGACAUUGAAAGAAUGGAAGGGGGAAACUGGCGUAAAGUACAGCGCCGGGUCUCUGUGAGUCGAAAUGGGUUUUAUGCGUGCCCUGGGUUUCGAAAAGGAUCAGAGAGACUUCAGUGCGGAGGAGUUGAGUCCCUUUACUGUGCACAGUGGAGUUGUGUUACCACCAAUGAUGGAGAGUGGAAGUGGCGAGUGACUCCCCAGCUCAUCACUCUCUCAUUUAUUAGGCCAUGCACCCGAACUUGGUACAAUUAUAACUGUAAUCUAAUCAGGCUCCAGUUCACAGAGAAGGGAAAAAGAGAUAAGCGAUGGCUGUCAGGGUUAACUUGGGGCCUAUAUCUCUAUCAGAGACCUAGUUUUGGAACUGUUAUCCAGAUCAAAUUAAAAGCUGAGCCAAUAGUUAAGGCGGCCAUAGGUCCAAAUAAGGUAUUAACAGAAGAGAGCCCUAAGGAACCCAAAAUCAUAGCACCUCCACCGUCCACUGGGAUACCCAGGCCAGGGCUGGUAAAUACAUAUACACCCCCACAUCCUAAAAACGAAGGCCCUUUAUGAGAACUACUUCUUGCUUCAUAUCAGACUUUAAAUGCUACCAACCCAAAUGUUACCAACGCCUGCUGGCUCUGUUACGAUAUGAAACCCCCUUUUUAUGAGGCAGUAGACUUCAAUGGGACCUAUACAGUAACAGAAUCCAAAGAAAAAUGUAAAUGGGGAUCUGGUCAGAAAGGCCUCACUCUACAGUCAGUGGAAGGCACCGGCCCUUGCAUAGGGAAAGUGCCUUCUACCCAACAAAGGCUUUGCAAUCAGCAGACAGAUAAAAGUUCAACCAAUUCUUCUUCCUGGUAUGUUCCCCCUGAAAACGGAUGGUGAGUCUACUCUGAGUCCGGGUUGACCCCAUGUGUAAAUAGUGCUGUCUCUGAUUUAGCUAAAGAAUAUUGUGUCUUAUGUCUCUCCCAGGAUUUUGUACCAUCCUGAAGAAGAAGUAUAUACCUACUUAAAAAAAGAUUGUCAGGUGCAAAUAGGCACAGGAAAAAGCGAGGACCUCUCACUGCCAUAACUAUUGCUACCUUAUUUGGACCAGGGGUAGCCGGACUAGGGGUAGCCGGACUAGGAACCAGAACUGCUUCCCUGGUCGCCAAUAACCGACACCUUGCAAGCCUAAGGGCUGCUGUAGAUGAAGAUAUAGAAAGAAUAGAAGCCUCCAUCACCAGUCUAGAGAAAUCUCUAGUCUCACUAUCUGAAGUGGUCUUACAGAAUAAAAGAGGGUUAGACUUACUGUUCCUACAGCAGGGGGGUCUCUGUGCAGCCUUAAAAGAAGAAUGUUGCUUUUAUGUUAAUCACAGCGGGGUAGUCAGAGAAAAUAUGGCCAAAGUCAGAGAAGGUCUGACAAAGAGAACAAAAGAGCAGCAACAAAGCUGGUUCAUAUCCUGGUUCAAUAGCUCACCCUGGCUAACUACCCUAAUCUCCACCCUGCUAGGACCCUUAGUAAGUGCUAAUGAUAAUUUUGACCUUUGGACCAUGUAUCCUCAAUAGACUGAUGACUUUUGUCAAAGAUAGAAUUAAUACAGUCCAGCUAAUGGUACUAAGACAACAGUAUCAGCCUUUAUCCACUCACAACUGGGAAAUCUCAUUAGACCCAUGAUUGAAUCCCUUCUUAGGAUCCAGAGAAAAAGGAGGAAUGAAAGGGCAAGCUCCCAGAUCCUAUUUCAGCCAGUUGGGGCCCAGAUCCUAUUUCAGCCAAUCAGGGCUCGGGCUCUCCCCACACCAGUCAGCAAGAUGCCCGCCAACUCCCCAGCCAAUCCGCCAGAGCCACGACCAUCAAUCACCCCACCGACUACCCCUAGACCCAGCCAAUCAGCCAAGACUGCACUCCUCACCCCACCAACGCCCUUAGAGCCCCAUAAAACCUUCCUGUUUUUGAAACACCCUCUAUCUCUGGCAUCUCGCCACCGCUGCUGUGUCGGUAGCAGAUGGGAGACUGAGCUGGAACCGGCUGGAAUAAAGGCUCUUUGCUUUUGCAUCAGUGUUGGCUCCUCGGUGGUCUUCUGGGAUUCAUGACUUUGGGCAUAACACCCAAAAGGCCCUAUAACAUUAAGCACACCUCCUCAGGCUGCCCACACUCCCCUUUCUUCAAGUGUGUGCUGUGCCUCAAGGACUGCCCACCGCUCUACUUACUGCAUUUUGUCUCUGAACUCCUCCAGUGGUAAGCAUCUUUGUUACUUCGCUAUUUCAUUCAAUUUUCUAGGCUUUAGCAUAAGUCUUCACCCUCUCUGUCCUAUAUCAGACAAGUAGGGAAGGGCCACUGAGAUCUCUGAUUUAGGCUUGCAAGGACCCACUGCCUGGGUGACCUGGACAGGACUGCAGCUGUACCAUCAUGCUCUUUAGUAGCCUGCCUGAAAAUCUCCUUUCUUUGCCUUUGGGAAGUUCUCCAACAUAGUCUUACUUGUAGUGCGCCGCAGCUUCUCCGAAUCCUGAGGGGGUAGUGGCUUAGUUCCCACACUGUGCAGAUUCAAGUGGACGCCCGGUGGCCCUGGCUCCAGGAGUUGGCAAGGGAUUUGCCCUGCCCCAAGCAGGAGUUCAGUGAGCUGCCCUUUCUUCCCUCUGCCCUUCCUUGCUCUUUGCUGCCUGCGCAAUGCUGCCAUUCGCCGCUUCUCUCGCUUUAAUGAAUUCCUUCCUUACCUACACCUGUCCGACCUGGUUGAGAAUUCUUUCUUGAUCAGAGUCAAGAAUCCUCCCCUGUCGGGGUUGAGGUUUCACCUGGUGUGCAGGGAAAGACCUCCCCAGAUGCAGCUGCCUGACAACAGAAGGAGAGAGAGGGAGGUUGAGGGGGCCCAAGGGAGCAGAAAGAGAAGAGCGCUCUGUAGGCAGGCCAGAGGGCCACCCCACACCUGCUGUGGACAGGUUGAGGGCCUGGGAUGGUCCCGAGUGAUGACAGGGUCUGUCCUCGACUGUCUUGCUACCAGCACCAGCAACAGGCUUAUUUUCCAGGGGCCCUACAGGGUUUUCACAGGCCAGCAGUUAAGUUGGUUUUUACGCUUCACCUUGGAGGAUGCCAGCUCCGUCAGCAGCACCGGGAAGUCCCUUGGGCCAAGAGCCUUGGCCGAUGGAUUUCAUUCCACAAUCUCUGAACACAACAACGUGAGGUUGGCAUUUCCGUCAUUGUGUUCAGCCCCCUCCCCGCCACGCUCUUCCACAUGCACACACGUUUCCCCCACUUAAGCAGCUUCCCUCCAGCUCGCUGCACACGUGUGUAGUGGGGGCAACAUAAAUGUUUUCACUAAAAUCUCCUGGUGACAGGCAACCCCACUGAGCUCUUUCAGCACUGUCAUCCACCCGCUGUGCUUCGGAGAUAAAUGGUCGUCACAGCCCGAGGCCUAGAGGGGGGUCCUCAGUGUGUGUCCUGGGCUGGAGUCAGCCUGACCCUGAGCUGCUCUCAGCUCCUCCCCUGGGUACAUAAGAUGAAACAGGCAGGGAACCCCAGUUUGAUAAGACUACUGGGUCUGCCCAUGUCAUUUCGUGUUCUCAAUGAUUUCUCAUCUCAGUUGUUAAAAUUGUGGUCAUCCCAAGAAAAAAAUGCUUAUGACACGGCAAUAAAGGAUGUUUCGUCAGAUUUUUUAACUGCCUCCCUCUGAAAGAAUAAACUGAAACCAACUGUUCAAAGGUAUGCUUUCUAUUUACUUUCUGUAGCAUUUAUUUUUUGUAUCUGGCAUUGAAAGUAUAGACAGUCCCACAUAUUCUAAAGGGAACAAAAUAACCCACAAGUACUUAGCAUCUACUCAUUUCCAACCGUAAGUCCCCGGUUUCACUUCAGUUUAGCAGACUAUUGCCCACUUCAGUAACUAAAUGCACAAAAUGAUAAUACCCUAAUAUGCACAUCUCUUGAAAGUGGUGUCGUAAUUCAUAAUUUGCCAGCUUGCAAGCAGUUUCCUUGGAGUACCCAGGGCUCCCCCGUGCUUCUUAAUUCUGUACUCUCUGUGCAAAAACACAACAGUUGGAGUCAACUGCAGGCAAACUGCUUUCUUUUUAAUUUUUGACAUGUUACCCAGAAUAGCGGUGUGGACUUGUUUACUUGGUUUUCACUGAGGAACGUUCUUUUUCUUCCAAGGAAUACACGAGAAGAGUUCCCGUCUCGGAACGCGGAGCUCCGAGCAGGGACUUGUCUGGCUAAAAGUGCUCCAAGAGGAAAUGCCUUCUUGGUUGCUGGGCUUCAUGGGGAGGAAGUGGCCUGUGUCCUGGGACCGUAAGAGAACAAUUGUUUCGGCAGGGGCGGCCCUCAGUCUGCCCUCUGGGAGCCUUGGUGCUGCUCGGUUUCAGAAGUGACUCUGGAAGAGCCCCUUGUCCCCAGGGUGAUACUGGAGUGUGAGGCUGCAGCCAGAGGCCGUGUGGACGUAGUUUCUCACCCGUGACGGACCUGCCUCUGUGAGGCAAAGAGGCCUGGUACGUCUCUGAUACUUAAUUCUCAAAAUUAGCCAAAACCUGCAAGCAACCAGAGACAAAAAGAGGAAACUGAUUAAGCAAACUGUAUAGUGGAAAGCUGCACAGGAGACUUGGAUCAAGUGAGAAAGAAACAGGCUUCAACUUAAUGUAUGAUCCUAUUUAUACAAAGUCCAAAAUCAGGCAAAAGUAAUUCUGUGGUGACAGAGGUCAGAAAACUGACUUGGGGGAGGUGGUAUGGGAUGAGGGGGCCUUGUCUCGUGCCUUAGGGCAGUUGACGGAGUACAUGCAAAUGUGAAAGCACACCUAAAAUCUGCUCUUCACUAUAUAUAAACUACCUCAAUGAAAAAGAAAACCUAUUGUGUGAUUUCAUUUAUAAAGUUCAUGAGCAGAAAAACUAGGCUCUGAUGCAGAAGCCCAGUGGUUCCCUCUGGGCGUGGGUGGCUGGGAAUAGAAUAAGGGGGCUUCUGGCGGCAGUCAUGUUAAGGGCUGUGGUCACAGAGGUGUAUUCUCUUUGUGGUAGUCCAGCGGUCUGCUGAGGAUUUGUGAUUUUCUGUUUGGAUGCUGUACUUCAAUAAAAGAUUAUUAAAAAAUAA